AUCCAACUGAUGAGCGCUAAAUAGGACGAAACGUGCGUCCUGGAU
rnacentral:hammerhead_ribozyme from 1 species